AGACGUCCCAAGGUAUGAGCUGUAGAUACGCACGUGAGCGCUGGUGGGAGACGCCAGGCUGGGAUUUCCGCUCGAUCUGGGAAUGAGCAAUGCAACCUAAUGACACCCAGAGCUCCUGAAUCACCCGAGGAAAAUGACGAGAGACUCCCUCCGGUGGGAACGUCUCCUAGAAACAAGGCCUAAGAUGGGGCGACAACAGCCCCACAGCUGUGUCCAGAUGCAGGGAGCACUCGCCUGUGCUGUAAGUCUGUCCCACAGUGGAGAAAAGGCUCAGACCCCACGGCUCUGCUGUCCACCCUCAGUGCGGGGGAGAGGGGGGAUCCAUAUCGGCAGUCAAGGAGCGGGAAUCUGAAAAGGCCAAGGCUGAACCCUGCACAGAACCCAGACCUCCGUGUGCCUCCAGAAACAGCCGAGGCUGGGCCUUCCUUGAGAUACUCUUCAACUUCAAGGCUCUUCUCACCUGAGCUCCUUGGAAGCUGUCCCAGACAGCUGCUGGUCCCUCCUCUGUCCCCACUGUGCAGAGUGUGGCCCCACUGGAGAGACUGUUUUUCCCCCCGUGUAUUGGAGUCAGUCACCCUCACCUGGAAGAAUGGGACUGUUGAAUUGAGGCAUCAUGGGUCACUUCCAUCCCAGAGCGUUUGAUUUGAGUGGUGAGGGACGGCCGGUGUCAUCGUUGGAGCUUCCUAAGAGUCCCAGAGGCUGAUGCACCUCCCAGACUCUCCUCGGCCCGGCUCCCUGGGCCCUGCUCCAGGGGCUUCAUUGCUCCCUGCCCCGGGUCACCCCUCGGCUCACCGUCUCUCAGGUGUGGAAUAUCCUGCUCCAAUCAAAGCCAUGUCACCUGCGUUGUCCAGUGAAACAUCAGUGGACAGGCGCUGCCCGGGCUCCAGGGAGCUCCUCACUGAGGCUCACUCCCUGUGCCUCUGCCAUCAGCACAGGGGGACAUGCCUGGCUGCCUGUGGGACCAGGGAGGACGCGCGGUGCGGGAGCAGAGCCAGCCACACUGCCGCUGCUGCACUGUUCAUCUGAGUGGCGCAAGGUUAUGUGUUUCAGCUGCGAGUUUUUCAAAUUGUUGCAAAUCUUCAAACAUUUUUCCAACAAAUUUACUGAAAAAAAUCCACAUAUAAGUGGCACCCCCACCAGUUUAAACCUGUGUUGUUCAAGAGUCAGCUAUUUUUAUGAGGUGUUUUCAAAAGUUUAUGGAAAAUGAAUCUUAUGAAUAAAACUAUGCAUGGAUUUCAAAUCUUUUGCACCAAAAUAAACUCAUACUAACUUGUUAUAAAA
rnacentral:lncRNA from 1 species